rnacentral:rRNA from 1 species
UAGGGAAUCUUCGGCAAUGGGGGGAACCCUGACCGAGCAACGCCGCGUGAGUGAAGAAGGUUUUCGGAUCGUAAAGCUCUGUUGUUAAGGAAGAACGAGUGUGAGAAUGGAAAGUUCAUACUGUGACGGUACUUAACCAGAAAGGGACGGCUAACUACGUGCCAGCAGCCGCGGUAAUACGUAGGUCCCGAGCGUUGUCCGGAUUUAUUGGGCGUAAAGCGAGCGCAGGCGGUUAGAUAAGUCUGAAGUUAAAGGCAGUGGCUCAACCAUUGUAGGCUUUGGAAACUGUUUAACUGGAGUGCAGAAGGGGAGAGUGGAAUUCCAUGUGUAGCGGUGAAAUGCGUAGAUAUAUGGGGGAACACCGGUGGCGAAAGCGGCUCUCUGGUCUGUAACUGACGCGGAGGCUCGAAAGCGUGGGGAGCGAACAGG